UACAGAGGUCUCAAGCGUUGUUCGGAUUCAUUGGGCGUAAAGGGUGCGUAGGUGGCGCCGUAAGUCAGGUGUGAAAUUUCGGAGCUUAACUCCGAAACUGCAUUUGAUACUGCGGUGCUUGAGGACUGGAGAGGAGACUGGAAUUUACGGUGUAGCAGUGAAAUGCGUAGAGAUCGUAAGGAAGACCAGUGGCGAAGGCGGGUCUCUGGACAGUUCCUGACACUGAGGCAACGAAGGCCAGGGGAGCAAACGGG
rnacentral:rRNA from 1 species